ACUCUAGUCUGAGCUGUCAGAAACAGCAAGCGCAGACCUUGCUGAGCGAGCAGCUUGCUCUCCUAUGAACUGCGACACUCCCCCAGCCCUUUAAAGUUGCUUUAUUAUUUUUUAAACGUUCAAUUGCAAGAAGCUGCUUUGGGAUUCUGGAGAAGGUUGCAGCAUCACUGACAACUGCACAAAGUUACAUCUGGCCAGCUACUUACUUGGGAAGCUGCAGCCACCGCUUUUAGAGGGUGAGAAAAUAAGUCUUAUCUUUUCAGUGUUCUGUCAGCUGCAUUUGCAAAGCUCUAUGGACUUCAGUGAUGAGGAAUCAGCAAAUUCCUGCAAGUAGGGUAAAUGACUUGUGUGCAGGAAUAGGUGCUUCCUGCACGGAGUACAGGUCUCAAUUGUCUCAUUUCAUCAAAAGAAGAGAUCCCAGUGACACAUGGACCAUGAACCAAGCAGCUGAGGCCACAACGAACGUGUACAUGUUCCACACGCUGGACAACAGUAAACACAAAAAUGAAGGCAGAUCCGUGAUUGCACAGCCCAUAUUUGUUUUCAAGAAGGAACGCCCUUGCAAGGUACGAAUGGAAGCCUCCCCUUCUUGCAUUUCUCCUGACAACACAUCUGGGAGGCCUGCAGAAGAUCCUGUGUGCAAGACCGAAAAAGUUUCCGCUGGUUAUUCCAGAAAACGUGCAAGAUCGUCGUCUUUUUCUUUUCAAACUUCCGACUCCCAGUCAUACAGAGAAAAUGUGCUUUCCCCCAAAAGAGCAAGAUCAUCUUCCUUUAACAUCCUUCCAACAUUUCCACCACCCCAGCCAGUAAAGAAGAAUAACAUAUUCAUGACCUCAGCGCUACUACAAAAGAACACUGCUGUGAAAGAAACAGAAAAAGGUCUUCCUUCAACAAAUGUACACCGGGAUGUUUUAAGGCCUGCCAUCUUACAACCGCCGCAAGUUCCUUUGCGCAAACCAGUAGAGAAGAUUGAGAUUGAAAAUGUCCUGGAGGAUAAACACGAAUCAGACACUGAGGUAUCUGGAGACACCUGUUUGUGGGCAGAUGACUCAGAAAGACCGCUUCCAUCUCUUCAUAUUUCAGGCCUUCAAACAAUAAGCAACCAACUACCUGAAGGCAGAACUUUCUCAAGCAGUAGGCAUUCUGACUUUGUGUUUGGAGAAAAUAUAGUAGAAAGAGUUUUGAGGCCAGCGAAAUCCCCAGAGCAUCAUUCUGAAAGUGGCAACAAUGGAAAAAAAUCCACGUCUCCUAUAGGUUUUCAUACCAGGUCUCCGCAGACAACACCAUUUUUUGCCAAGGAUACAACCCUAGUUGAAUCAGCUGCUGCUUAUGUAUCUAGCAAACCGACACAAAGAUAUUUAUUAGAUAAAGUUGAAGUUACUACAGGAGAAGAAGCAGAGCACAAUGUCUUACAGAUCAACUGCAGACUCUUUUUAUUUAAUAAAGUAUCAUCAUCCUGGACUGAAAGAGGCAGUGGCUCUCUGAGACUUAAUGAUACAUCCAGCAAUCAGUGUGGAAUGCUGCAGUCAAGACUGAUAAUGCGAAAUCAUGGGAGCAUGAGGCUCAUUCUUAACACCAGACUCUGGACUCAGAUGGUCAUAGAGAGAGCAAACCGGAAGAGUCUGUGCAUCACGGCUACAGAUUUGGAGGACUCUUGUGUCAAGGUGUUUCUAAUACAGGCAAGCUCCAAGGAUGCAGCUUCUCUAUACGCAGCAAUCCACCACCGCCUUGUUGCAAUGAGGAGCUUUGCUGAUCAGGAAUGUGAUGUAAACCAUGUAGAGCAAGAGCCAGAUAUUCAACCACUGAAUUAUGACAGUGAUGAGGACGAGAAUGAAAAAAUAACUCAAGUGAGCAACAACAAAUCAGGUCCCAGAGAUUGCUGACAACCCAGGCCCCAUCUGUUAUCAAGCAACCUUGGCAGGUCCUCUGACGGCCCCUGCUUUAUUUUAUUUAUCCUGACUAUGUCCACCUCAGUCUGCUUAUCUUUCAUGCCAGCUGACCCUGUUGUAAUACUAUCAAGAUCAUUCUCAGUGGAUUCGCCGACAGCCUGUGGUCUGUUCGUGACAACUUGCUACCUCCAAUCAAAGUAAAAAAAAACACCCAGAAACUUCUUUUUUAAAAAAAUACCCUAGAAGCUCUUACGACAUCAGCAUGUGAGGAAAUUUUGCACACUUUUUGUAUGACUAAGGGGCAAAAACUUUUCAGGGUUGACUUAGCACACAGAGGAUACACGAAACAAGCACUUUAUGGGUUCCAGUCGUCCUUCCUUUUACUUAUACAGGAAUUAGAGAAUGGCCCCAGCUCUUUAAGAAUUUUUUAAAUAAAAAGACUUCAGUUUUUUGAACAAAUGAUCUUUAAGGACAAUUUUAAAGAAAAAGAGAAUCCUAAUUGAAGUUCUUUCAUCAUAUUGAUGGAAUCCAUCAUUUAUCCAUGAAUUACUGACUGCGUUAAUUCCACAUAGAUUUAUCUACACAAUGACUGUCCACAAAAAUCUAUUAUGAGUACAGCUAUAUAAUAAAUAUUUUUCUUAGCAGUCACA